rnacentral:lncRNA from 1 species
AAGGUACUGAAGUAGAGUUCUGGCUGUUCCUUACGGACAUCUCUGGUGAAUAAUCUGAGAAGGCCUCACUUAUAAUUUGGCUUGAAGAAAACACGAGAGCAAGUCAUGCAAUGUUCAAGUAAGAGUGCAGCAGUCAGAAGAAAAAGCUAUGCAAGGGCCCUAAGGUUGAAAGUGUUCUUAGUGUCUUUGAGAAACAUCAAGGAAUGUGCAAAAGGCAGAAUGAUAGAAGAUGAGAUCAGAGAGGGGAAGUAAAUUCAACAACAGAAAUUGAGGAUGAGGAACAUGGUGUUGCAGUUCAAACCAGUUCCAGCCAAAAUGGACUCUAGUCACAAACAAAUAGUAAUAACAAUCCAAACUUGUGGCUGAAUAGAGUUCUGAAGUUUUGAGAAAGAGAUACCUUUAGUAACCUAGACUCUGCUGGAUCAUAUGGCCCAAGACGCCAGUCUGAUUGCACAGCAGUCGACCUGCUGCAGAUGCUUUCCCACUUUGGGAUCCAGAGAACCUUCCCCUUCUGAGCAGCAAAACCAAAUAAAGCAGUUCUCAGGAUACAAAGACAAGACUGAGGAAGAUCCUAAUAAGGUGUUGCAAGGUGACACAGGACAAACUUUGUCCAAAGGAAAUUGAUCUGACAAGAACUUCUGGACUUGUCAGUUCUUAGGGCUGACUGGUCUAUCCUCUUUCUAUUGACUUUGGCUUACUAGACUCAAGCAGAAAGUGACAAGGGAAGAAAAGGAUACAAACAGAAGCAAGUUUCCAAGAACAAGGUUUACAUCAGGAAGAGCCAAUCAAAGAUCAUAUCUGGAGGACUGCUGCAAAGUUGUGAUAAAUGACCAAAUAGUAUUUUUAUAGAAGGUGGAAUGAAUGACAGACUAAAGAUUUCAGCUGAUUAAAGAAAUUAUGGAGUGCAUCAUUCUCAGUUUAUAUUGAACUGGGGUUCCUGAGAAAUUCCUCCUUAUAAAUUUACAUGGAAAUUAUAAUUUUUACUAGUUGAUUUCAGUUAAUUAGCCUACUGAAUAAUUUGAUUCUUGCACUCACUAAAAGAUCAUAGAGCACAAGAAUACCAUUUACAAAAUACUUUAAAAGUGGGGAUAUAAACACAAAUAAG